rnacentral:rRNA from 1 species
UUGAACGCUGGCGGAAUGCUUUACACAUGCAAGUCGGGCGGCAGCGCGGGGGCAACCCUGGCGGCGAGCGGCGAACGGGUGAGUAACAUAUCGGAACGUACCCAGACGUGGGGGACAACUAGUCGAAAGACUAGCUAAUACCGCAUACGUCCUGAGGGAGAAAGCGGGGGAUCGCAAGACCUCGCGCGUUUGGAGCGGUCGAUAUCUGAUUAGCUAGAUGGUGGGGUAAAGGCCCACCAUGGCGACGAUCAGUAGCUGGUCUGAGAGGAUGAUCAGCCACACUGGAACUGAGACACGGUCCAGACUCCUACGGGAGGCAGCAGUGGGGAAUUUUGGACAAUGGGGGAAACCCUGAUCCAGCCAUUCCGCGUGAGUGAAGAAGGCCUUCGGGUUGUAAAGCUCUUUCGGCAGGAACGAAACGGCGGAAUCUAAUACAUUCCACUAAUGACGGCACCUGAAGAAGAAGCACCGGCUAACUACGU